GAAAAGAAACCAACUGGGAUUACCUUAGUAACGGCGAGUGAAGCGGUAAAAGCUCAAAUUUGAAAUCUGGUACUUUCAGUGCCCGAGUUGUAAUUUGUAGAAUUUGUCUUUGAUUAGGUCCUUGUCUAUGUUCCUUGGAACAGGACGUCAUAGAGGGUGAGAAUCCCGUUUGGCGAGGAUACCUUUUCUCUGUAAGACUUUUUCGAAGAGUCGAGUUGUUUGGGAAUGCAGCUCAAAGUGGGUGGUAAAUUCCAUCUAAAGCUAAAUAUUGGCGAGAGACCGAUAGCGAACAAGUACAGUGAUGGAAAGAUGAAAAGAACUUUGAAAAGAGAGUGAAAAAGUACGUGAAAUUGUUGAAAGGGAAGGGCAUUUGAUCAGACAUGGUGUUUUUUGCAUGCACUCGCCUCUCGUGGGCUUGGGCCUCUCAAAAAUUUCACUGGGCCAACAUCAAUUCUGGCAGCAGGAUAAAUCAUUAAGAAUGUAGCUACUUCGGUAGUGUUAUAGCUUUUUGGAAUACUGUUAGCCGGGAUUGAGGACUGCG
rnacentral:rRNA from 1 species